AAAUGUGGAUUAUGAUAUAUGAAAACUGUAUUUCGGAAAGAUACGAAUCCAACAAAAUUGACGGAUCAUUAAUUGGAGUUACAGAUUUCGUUUUAUUUAAGUUUUGGUGAAGGACUCCAAAACUGCCAAAGUGCAAAAAGUUUCUGGCCAAAAUUUUCCGAGGGCUGUUUUGGACAUUUAGUUAAUGAGAAAAAUUACAGGCUUUUGGGAAAUGAA
rnacentral:lncRNA from 1 species